AGAGGAAGGAAGAAUAAAUGCAUCUCCCUCAGGAUCACCCAGGCAAAGAUGAGCCCUGGGGGUGCCAGGGAACUUCUCAGGAAACAGGCAAUCAGGGACAAAGACUUAAGGGUUUGGAGAGACACAUGUCUUCUUCAUGUACGGGCCCUCUCAAGUAUCUUCAGCUCCUGCGUCUCCACAUUAAAGAAGGAAGCAGGACUGGGUGUGUGUGUGUGGCAGAGGUAGGUGUCCACACUCCCUGCUUCCUGGGUUCAUAUUCCACCCUUGUUUCAGGGAUAUUGGGGAAUGAGACACUUGGGGAAUUCUUUUAGAAGUUGCAGAGGCAGGGCCGUGCUCACGAAGUCCUAGCUGGGCUUUGCUGUGGAGGCCCAGAGCCAUGAUCAUGGAAACAACUUUCCCAGCUCUGCUUCUCUGGAGGGACUCUGGGGAAGGGGAAUCACUGGUCUGCGAAGUGUCUUUCAUGCACUAAGCUGAAUGACCUUGGCCUGAAUCGCUCAGGGUUAUGUAAGAUUAGGUAGCCACUUAGUCAAAAAUAGCUUUCAUGCUGACUCCAGCCCACAAAAUAGCAUCCAAGUCAAGGGGGCACAGAUGCGCCAGAGCUGGGCAUGCAUGGGGAAAUUCCCCUCCUGGUCCUCGCCUUUGGAAAAUCGCUUGAGGGUGUUAGCCGGGUCUUGGAGCUGCUGCCAGGUAAUCUCCUGUGCGUCUCUGUUUGGCCGCAUAUAUAUGGCUGUUUUGCUGAAGCAGAGAAACCAAGGGACCAUAAGCACAGAAAUGCAGUGCAAACGUUAGAAUAAAAGUGAGAAAGAGUGUGCAGUAGGCAGAAGGAGCACUGAACUAGGAGUCUUCAGACCUGCUACCACCAUUGACUUUCUGGAGUCAGUCACUUUCAUUUAUUCAUUCAACAAAUACUUACUGAGCCUACUGUGUGCCAGAGACUGUACUAGCACUGGAGACACAAAAGGGAAGGAUAGAUGCUAUUUCUUCCCUCAUGGAAUUUUAGCUUAUAAGCUGUCUUGUCCCUCAGCUUAAAGAUAACUUACAUCCUCUGAGAACUUUCUUAUGCCAGGCACUUUACAAGACAUUCGACAUACACAGUGAACAAGCCAGAUAUAGUCUUUGGCCACAUGCAGCUUGCAGACUAGAGGGAGAAAAAGACAAAUAAAGACCAAAAAAAAAAAAAAAAAUCCAGACAAUUUGUCUUUGCAAUAAAAAUUCCAAUAAAGGGCCCUUUUAGGCCUAAGAGGAAGAUAUCUCUAUUG
rnacentral:lncRNA from 1 species